rnacentral:rRNA from 1 species
UGGAUCACCUCCUUUCUAAGGAUAUAUUCGGAACAUCUUCUUCAGAAGAUGCGGAAUAACGUGACAUAUUGUAUUCAGUUUUGAAUGUUUAUUUAACAUUCAAAUAUUUUUUGGUUAAAGUGAUAUUGCUUAUGAAAAUAAAGCAGUAUGCGAGCGCUUGACUAAAAAGAAAUUGUACAUUGAAAACUAGAUAAGUAAGUAAAAUAUAGAUUUUACCAAGCAAAACCGAGUGAAUAAAGAGUUUUAAAUAAGCUUGAAUUCAUAAGAAAUAAUCGCUAGUGUUCGAAAGAACACUCACAAGAUUAAUAACGCGUUUAAAUCUUUUUAUAAAAGAACGUAACUUCAUGUUAACGUUUGACUUAUAAAAAUGGUGGAAACAUAGAUUAAGUUAUUAAGGGCGCACGGUGGAUGCCUUGGCACUAGAAGCCGAUGAAGGACGUUACUAACGACGAUAUGCUUUGGGGAGCUGUAAGUAAGCUUUGAUCCAGAGAUUUCCGAAUGGGGAAACCCAGCAUGAGUUAUGUCAUGUUAUCGAUAUGUGAAUACAUAGCAUAUCAGAAGGCACACCCGGAGAACUGAAACAUCUUAGUACCCGGAGGAAGANAACGAUGCAUAGCCGACCUGAGAGGGUGAUCGGCCACACUGGAACUGAGACACGGUCCAGACUCCUACGGGAGGCAGCAGUAGGGAAUCUUCCGCAAUGGGCGAAAGCCUGACGGAGCAACGCCGCGUGAGUGAUGAAGGUCUUCGGAUCGUAAAACUCUGUUAUUAGGGAAGAACAUAUGUGUAAGUAACUGUGCACAUCUUGACGGUACCUAAUCAGAAAGCCACGGCUAACUACGUGCCAGCAGCCGCGGUAAUACGUAGGUGGCAAGCGUUAUCCGGAAUUAUUGGGCGUAAAGCGCGCGUAGGCGGUUUUUUAAGUCUGAUGUGAAAGCCCACGGCUCAACCGUGGAGGGUCAUUGGAAACUGGAAAACUUGAGUGCAGAAGAGGAAAGUGGAAUUCCAUGUGUAGCGGUGAAAUGCGCAGAGAUAUGGAGGAACACCAGUGGCGAAGGCGACUUUCUGGUCUGUAACUGACGCUGAUGUGCGAAAGCGUGGGGAUCAAACAGGAUUAGAUACCCUGGUAGUCCACGCCGUAAACGAUGAGUGCUAAGUGUUAGGGGGUUUCCGCCCCUUAGUGCUGCAGCUAACGCAUUAAGCACUCCGCCUGGGGAGUACGACCGCAAGGUUGAAACUCAAAGGAAUUGACGGGGACCCGCACAAGCGGUGGAGCAUGUGGUUUAAUUCGAAGCAACGCGAAGAACCUUACCAAAUCUUGACAUCCUUUGACAACUCUAGAGAUAGAGCCUUCCCCUUCGGGGGACAAAGUGACAGGUGGUGCAUGGUUGUCGUCAGCUCGUGUCGUGAGAUGUUGGGUUAAGUCCCGCAACGAGCGCAACCCUUAAGCUUAGUUGCCAUCAUUAAGUUGGGCACUCUAAGUUGACUGCCGGUGACAAACCGGAGGAAGGUGGGGAUGACGUCAAAUCAUCAUGCCCCUUAUGAUUUGGGCUACACACGUGCUACAAUGGACAAUACAAAGGGCAGCGAAACCGCGAGGUCAAGCAAAUCCCAUAAAGUUGUUCUCAGUUCGGAUUGUAGUCUGCAACUCGACUACAUGAAGCUGGAAUCGCUAGUAAUCGUAGAUCAGCAUGCUACGGUGAAUACGUUCCCGGGUCUUGUACACACCGCCCGUCACACCACGAGAGUUUGUAACACCCGAAGCCGGUGGAGUAACCUUUUAGGAGCUAGCCGUCGAAGGUGGGACAAAUGAUUGGGGUGAAGUCGUAACAAGGUAGCCGUAUCGGAAGGUGCGGCUGGAUCACCU